AUCGCUUCUCGGCCUUUUGGCUAAGAUCAAAGUGUAGUGCACCUAUUAUUAUAAUUGUUUUAUUUGAAUAUAAUUUGUUACAUUUCUUUUGAUUUUCGUACAUUUAGCGCCUUGAUCAAACAAUCGUCAGGCGAGUUCCGCACUUUUA
rnacentral:snRNA from 1 species